CCUACGGGGGACUGCAGUGGGGAAUAUUGCACAAUGGGGGAAACCCUGAUGCAGCGACGCCGCGUGAGCGAAGAAGUAUUUCGGUAUGUAAAGCUCUAUCAGCAGGGAAGAAAAUGACGGUACCUGAGUAAGAAGCUCCGGCUAAAUACGUGCCAGCAGCCGCGGUAAUACGUAUGGAGCAAGCGUUAUCCGGAUUUACUGGGCGUAAAGGGAGCGUAGGCGGCCUGCCAAGUCUGAUGUGAAAUACCGGGGCUCAACCCCGGGGCUGCAUUGGAAACUGGCAGGCUGGAGUGCCGGAGAGGCAGGCGGAAUUCCUAGUGUAGCGGUGAAAUGCGUAGAUAUUAGGAGGAACACCAGUGGCGAAGGCAGCUUACUAAACUGUGACUGACAUUGAUGCUCGAAAGUGUGGGUAUCAAACAGGAUUAGAUACCCUAGUAGUC
rnacentral:rRNA from 1 species